GGGCCCGUGGCUUAGGACGGUUAAAGCGUUCGACUGAUAAUCGAAAGAUCAUGAGUUCAAAUCUCAUCGGGCCCACCA
rnacentral:tRNA from 1 species